rnacentral:rRNA from 1 species
AGUGAACGCUGGCGGUAGGCCUAACACAUGCAAGUCGAACGGCAGCACAGUAAGAGCUUGCUCUUACGGGUGGCGGGUGGCGGACGGGUGAGGAAUACAUCGGAAUCUACUUUUUCGUGGGGGAUAACGUAGGGAAACUUACGCUAAUACCGCAUACGACCUACGGGUGAAAGCAGGGGAUCUUCGGACCUUGCGCGAUUGAAUGAGCCGAUGUCGGAUUAGCUAGUGGGCGGGGUAAAGGCCCAGCAAGGCUACGAUCCGUAGCUGGUCUGAGAGGAUGAUCAGCCACACUGUAACUGAGACACGGUCCAGACUCCUACGGUAGGCAGCAGUGGGGAAUAUUGCACAAUGGGCGCAAGCCUGAUCCAGCCAUACCGCGUGGGUGAAGAAGGCCUUCGGGUUGUAAAGCCCUUUUGUUGUGAAAGAAAAGCAGCAGGUUAAUACCCCGCUGUUCUGACGGUACCCAAAGAAUAAGCACCGGCUAACUUCGUG